rnacentral:tRNA from 1 species
GCGGCUGUAGCUCAGUGGUAGAGCCCCUGGUUGUGGUCCAGGUUGUCGUGGGUUCGAUCCCCAUCAGUCGCC